rnacentral:rRNA from 1 species
UACGUAGGGGGCUAGCGUUGUCCGGAAUCAUUGGGCGUAAAGAGCGUGUAGGCGGCCCGGUAAGUCCGCUGUGAAAGUCGGGGGCUCAACCCUCGAAAGCCGGUGGAUACUGUCGGGCUAGAGUGCGGAAGAGGCGAGUGGAAUUCCUGGUGUAGCGGUGAAAUGCGCAGAUAUCAGGAGGAACACCAAUUGCGAAGGCAGCUCGCUGGGACGUAACUGACGCUGAGACGCGAAAGCGUGGGGAGCGAACAGG